rnacentral:rRNA from 1 species
AACGAACGCUGGCGGCAUGCCUAACACAUGCAAGUCGAACGAGACCUUCGGGUCUAGUGGCGCACGGGUGCGUAACGCGUGGGAACCUGCCUUUAGGUUCGGAAUAACUCAGAGAAAUUUGAGCUAAUACCGGAUAAUGUCUUCGGACUAAAGAUUUAUCGCCUUUAGAUGGGCCCGCGUAAGAUUAGCUAGUUGGUGGGGUAAAGCCUACCAAGGCGACGAUCUUUAGCUGGUCUGAGAGGAUGAUCAGCCACACUGGGACUGAGACACGGCCCAGACUCCUACGGGAGGCAGCAGUGGGGAAUAUUGGACAAUGGGCGAAAGCCUGAUCCAGCAAUGCCGCGUGAGUGAUGAAGGCCUUAGGGUUGUAAAACCUCUUUUAUCAAGGAGAAGAUCUGACGGUACUUGAUGAAUAAGCCACGGCUAAUUCCGUGCCAGCAGCCGCGGUAAU